rnacentral:rRNA from 1 species
ACUCCUACGGGAGGCAGCAGUGGGGAAUAUUGCACAAUGGGCGCAAGCCUGAUGCAGCCAUGCCGCGUGUGUGAAGAAGGCCUUCGGGUUGUAAAGCACUUUCAGUCGUGAGGAAGGUAGUGUAGUUAAUAGCUGCAUUAUUUGUACGUUAGCGACAGAAGAAGCACCGGCUAACUCCGUGCCAGCAGCCGCGGUAAUACGGAGGGUGCGAGCGUUAAUCGGAAUUACUGGGCGUAAAGCGCAUGCAGGUGGUUUGUUAAGUCAGAUGUGAAAGCCCGGGGCUCAACCUCGGAAUAGCAUUUGAAACUGGCAGACUAGAGUACUGUAGAGGGGGUAGAAUUUCAGGUGUAGCGGUGAAAUGCGUAGAGAUCUGAAGGAAUACCGGUGGCGAAGGCGGCCCCUGGACAGAUACUGACACUCAGAUGCGAAAGCGUGGGAGCAAACAGGAUUAGAUA